GGGAGCAUAGUGUAGUGGCUAUCACGCUUCAUUUGCAUUUGUGUUUCUCUAUAACGGUUUCAUCAGCGCAUCUUGAAGAGGUCCCGGGUUCAAUCCCCGGUGCUUCCA